GUGGUUUUAUUGACUUUUGAAAAACUGAUAUUCACUUCGGCCGUUGGCCUCAGUGAAUAUCAGUUUUUUCAAAAGUCAAUAAAACUACACAUUUACC
rnacentral:sRNA from 1 species